GAUGAGCAUGCGUCCCAUUAGCUAGUUGGUAAGGUAACGGCUUACCAAGGCUACGAUGGGUAGGGGUCCUGAGAGGGAGAUCCCCCACACUGGUACUGAGACACGGACCAGACUCCUACGGGAGGCAGCAGUGAGGAAUAUUGGACAAUGGGCGCAAGCCUGAUCCAGCCAUGCCGCGUGCAGGAUGACGGUCCUAUGGAUUGUAAACUGCUUUUAUACGAGAAGAAACACUCCUUCGUGAAGGAGCUUGACGGUAUCGUAAGGAUAAGGAUCGGCUAACUCCGUGCCAGCAGCCGCGGUAAUACGGAGGAUCCAAGCGUUAUCCGGAAUCAUUGGGUUUAAAGGGUCCGUAGGCGGUUUAGUAAGUCAGUGGUGAAAGCCCAUCGCUCAACGGUGGAACGGCCAUUGAUACUGUUAGACUUGAAUUAUUAGGAAGUAACUAGAAUAUGUAGUGUAGCGGUGAAAUGCUUAGAGAUUACAUGGAAUACCAAUUGCGAAGGCAGGUUACUACUAAUUGAUU
rnacentral:rRNA from 1 species